UUGCACCAACACAAAACCGUAGCCAUCGUUUAUGGCCCGAUUGAGACAUCUGAGGAUGGAGAUAACAGAAGAAACAUUAGGGGUAAAACAUAAGAAAAAUCAACGUAAAUAAAGGAAAGAUGGAAAAAAUUAAAAGAUAAUAUCUUUCCCCACCUAGAUUAAUCAUUUCUUUUUCUUUUUCUUUUCGCUUCUUUUUUUUUAAAAUUUUAUUUUUUUUCGAAGGUAUUUGGGGAAGA
rnacentral:lncRNA from 1 species